rnacentral:rRNA from 1 species
GACAGAGGGUGCAAACGUUUGUUCGGAUUUACUGGGCGUAAAGCGCGUGUAGGCGGCCUUGCAAGUUGGAUGUGAAAGCCCCCGGCUCAACUGGGGAGGGUCAUUCGAUACUGAUCGACUCGAAGGCAGGAGAGGGUAGUGGAAUUCCCGGUGUAGUGGUGAAAUGCGUAGAUAUCGGGAGGAACACCAGUGGCGAAGGCGACUACCUGGCCUGUUCUUGACGCUGAGGCGCGAAAGCUAGGGGAGCAAACGGG